GGCCAGGUAGCUCAGUCGGUAGAGCAAAGGACUGAAAAUCCUUGUGUCGACGGUUCGAUUCCGCCCCUGGCCACCA
rnacentral:tRNA from 1 species